CCUGCCUCUAGGGCAGACGUUGCAGAUGUGGCUGCUGUGUGUCAUGUGCUUCCAUAGGUGGCAGAGAAAGGGGCUAUGUCUAAGUUCAAUGUUCUAAUCUGUGAAUAUAUGAAUGAAUAGUAGCUUAACAUU